GAUGGUGAAAACAAACCCUGCCUGCUGCUCUCCUUUACCGCACCUAAAUCUGAGGGUCCUGAUUGUAACAGAGUGAACAACAGGCUCCAGAGAUGGCAUCAGUGAAGCAGGAAGACUGCAGUCAAACACUGGGGCUGAAUGUCAACAUUAAAGAUGAAGUAAAGGAGGAAGAGAUUGAAACAUUUGUGUAUCAUGGGCCGGCUGGAGAGUUCAAAGAAAACACGGAAGAACACCAAGUCUUACUACUCAAAGGUCUCUCUCAGGGAGAAAUCUCCAGCUCUGGUCCCCCACCAGCAGCAGAGGGAACUGUGGAGUCAGCUUUACCCUCUGUCACCAUGGAGGAGCUACCCUCCACCUCACCAUCAACACCUUGGCCAGCACCAACAGUGCCACCCCAACCCAUCACCUCCCGUCCUGCACCAGCUCACUCUGGCUCUGCUCCCCAACCCAUCACCUCCCGUCCUGCACCAGCUCACUCAAUCCACUCUCAAUCAAUGAAUCAAAUUUAUUUUAUAAAGCCCUUUUUACAUCAGCAGUUGUCACAAAGUGCUUUACAGAUACCCAGCCUAAAAUCCCAAAUAGCAAGCAAUGCAGAUGCACUCUCUGGCACCGCACCCCAACCCAUCACCUCCUGUCCUGCACCAGCUCAUUCCAUCCACUCUGGCUUUGCUCCCCAACCCAUUACCUCCUGUCCUGCACCAGCUCAUUCCAUCCACUCUGGCUUUGCUCCCCAACCCAUUACCUCCUGUCCUGCACCAGCUCAUUCCAUCCACUCUGACUCUACACCCCAACCCAUCACGUCUGGCUGGACACCACAAGGCCCCCAAGCCAUUCUGCUCCAACAAAUCCUGGACACACAAACGCAACAAAUCCAUGUUACACAGACCGCCCAACACAUCCACCAAGCUCUUUAUGAUUUAUUAGAAAAAGCACAUGAAACACAGAAGGCACACCUGGAUGUGGAGAAGAACCGGCUCCAGCUGGAUAGAGAGCGCUUGAGGGUGGAGACAGAGCGCCUGCAGGUGGAGAGGGAGCGCCUCAAGAUGGAGAAGGAUCGCCUGGGGGAAGGGGAGGCGCUUCGGCAGCUCUCUGUCUCUGGGUCAGUCGCCCUAGAACACCAGACGCCUGUGAGUUCAAGAACUGCCAGUGCCUCAGCCACCCUUCCUCUGGGAACACCAUCAGCCUCCAUGUCCAGUCCCCUCACAUUAAUAUCACCUACUGCACCACACUUUGAUUCCCCAUUCCCAUUACCGGUAAUCACAACCCAUUCCACCCAGCCAUCACAAACCAGCCCUGCCCCAACCUCUCCUACCUUAACCAGCCCUGCCCCAACCUCUCCUACCUUAACCAGCCCUGCCCCAACCUCUCCUACCUUAACCAGCCCUGUCCCAACCUCUCCUA
rnacentral:lncRNA from 13 species